rnacentral:rRNA from 1 species
GACGAACGCUGGCGGCGUGCUUAACACAUGCAAGUCGAGCGAUGAAGCACCUUCGGGUGUGAAUUAGCGGCGAACGGGUGAGGAACACGUGAAGAAUCUGCCUUCAACUCUGGGAUAACUCCGGGAAACCGGGGCUAAUACCGGAUAUGAGCCUUGAUCGCAUGAUCGGGGCUGGAAAGUUUUUCGGUUGAAGAUGACUUCGCGGCCUAUCAGCUUGUUGGUGAGGUAAUGGCUCACCAAGGCGACGACGGGUAGCCGGCCUGAGAGGGCGACCGGCCACACUGGGACUGAGACACGGCCCAGACUCCUACGGGAGGCAGCAGUGGGGAAUAUUGGGCAAUGGAGGAAACUCUGACCCAGCGACGCCGCGUGAGGGAUGAAGGCCUUCGGGUUGUAAACCUCUUUCAGUAGGGAAGAAGCGAAAGUGACGGUACCUACAGGAGAAGCACCGGCUAACUAUGUGCCAGCCGCCGCAGUAA